rnacentral:rRNA from 1 species
GACGGAGGAUGCAAGCGUUAUCCGGAAUGAUUGGGCGUAAAGCGUCCGCAGGUGGCAGUUCAAGUCUGCUGUCAAAGACUGGGGCUUAACUUCGGAAAGGCAGUGGAAACUGAACAGCUAGAGUAUGGUAGGGGCAGAGGGAAUUCCUGGUGUAGCGGUGAAAUGCGUAGAGAUCAGGAAGAACACCGGUGGCGAAGGCGGCUUCCUGGACCGACACUGACGCUGAGGCGCGAAAGCCAGGGGAGCAAACGGG